GACGAACCGUGCGAACGUUAUUCGGAAUCACUGGGCUUAAAGCGCGUGUAGGCGGAUGGGAACGUCGGUUGUUGAAAGCCCCCGGCUCAACCGGGGAACUGGCACCGAAACGACCCGUCUGGAGGGACGUAGGGGGACCUGGAACUUCCGGUGGAGCGGUGAAAUGCGUUGAGAUCGGAAGGAACGCCCGUGGCGAAAGCGAGGUCCUGGACGUCUACUGACGCUGAGACGCGAAAGCUAGGGGAGCGAACGGG
rnacentral:rRNA from 1 species